rnacentral:rRNA from 1 species
UGGGGAAUAUUGGACAAUGGGCGAAAGCCUGAUCCAGCCAUGCCGCGUGUGUGAAGAAGGUCUUCGGAUUGUAAAGCACUUUAAGUUGGGAGGAAGGGCAGUAAGCGAAUACCUUGCUGUUUUGACGUUACCGACAGAAUAAGCACCGGCUAACUCUGUGCCAGCAGCCGCGGUAAUACAGAGGGUGCAAGCGUUAAUCGGAAUUACGGGGCGUAAAGCGCGCGUAGGUGGUUCGUUAAGUUGAAUGUGAAAGCCCCGGGCUCAACCCUGGAACUUCCUUCCAAACUGGCCAGCUAGAGUUGGGCCGAGGGUGGGUGUCUUUUCCGUGUUGCGGAGAAAUGCGUUGAUAUAGGAAGGAACACCCGUUGCCAAGGCGAACCCCUUGGCUUCUACUGCCACUGAGGUGCGAAAGCGUGGGGAGCCAAACGG